CUUAUCUGCCCGUUCUAUAGAUCUCAGCACUCUCUAUAGCUGAACAUAGCGAGAAAAUAUCAGUGUCAAUAAUAAGGAAAACGUGCCAGCACCCGCUAGGUGUGUCCAAGGAAGCCGUAGCCUGACUCCCUGUAUUUGAUAAAUGGCGGCGAUCAGAAGGAAACAACAAUUGAUGGUCAAUCCUACAGAUCGAUGCGUAUUCCUGGACCAUUGUCCUCCAUUAGAAGCAGAUAUAGGCCUUAGGUGAAGACAAGAUGGUGCAGACAAUAAACAGAGGCCCCGGCCAGAACCUGGGGAGCAUCACAACAGUCGAAUCUCAAAGCUUCCUUAGGAGACGAGCUGUACUCACUAUUCUGCUGGUGAGAUCUGCGCUGAAAUUCUGCCGUUUGAAAAUAACCUCAGGUAUGUCCACACUAAGGAACUGAGGAGGAAUUAUUUUGGUCAGAACAUUCGGCAAAUUCUGCUUGGGACGAAAUAGGCAAGGAAAUGGUGUGGAAUUUGAAGAGGAAAACAAGAGGAGGAUCAGGAAAUGCUGUGGAGGAAUUUCUGUCACUUUGAGGUUUGAUCCAUGUGGAAAGUCUACGUCCUUUCUGCUCCCAACUUAAUUUGUCAGGAAAAAUAAACCCAAUGGGCUUCUACCCGCGGAUUCCGCCAGAAAAUAAACCUGUUCAAUCUUUUGGCGGAAUACGAUUCCAUGUCGGAAUUCCAUCCGCAGAAAUUCCUCAGUAUAACCAGAUUGUCACAAAGACCAUUAAAGUCAAUAGAACUUUAAUUAAAGGCAGAAUUGGAGUGGAAUACUGGCAUGGAAUUAGGCAAGUAAAUUCCUUGUCAAUUCCUUAGUAUGAACCUACCUAUAUGCUUGCCAGUUUUUCCUCAUUUCAAUUGGUUACAAGCUGACUAAUUUAUCCCACCAGAUAGGAGCCAUUGUAGAUAGAUAGAUAGA